rnacentral:tRNA from 1 species
GGAGAUUUAGCUCAGCGGCAUGAGCGCCUGCCUUGCAAGCAGGCAGUCAUGAGUUCAACCCCCG